AUGAACGCUGGCGGCGCGCCUAACACAUGCAAGUCGAACGGCACCCCUCUCCGGAGGGAAGCGAGUGGCGAACGGCUGAGUAACACGUGGAGAACCUGCCCCCUCCCCCGGGAUAGCCGCCCGAAAGGACGGGUAAUACCGGAUACCCCGGGGUGCCGCAUGGCACCCCGGCUAAAGCCCCGACGGGAGGGGAUGGCUCCGCGGCCCAUCAGGUAGACGGCGGGGUGACGGCCCACCGUGCCGACAACGGGUAGCCGGGUUGAGAGACCGACCGGCCAGAUUGGGACUGAGACACGGCCCAGACUCC
rnacentral:rRNA from 1 species